CAUGCAAGUCGAACGGAAAUCUUUUAGAUUUUAGUGGCGAACGGGUGAGUAACACGUAAGCAACCUGCCUUUAAGACGAGAAUAACAAUUGGAAACAGUUGCUAAGGCUGGAUAGGAAAUAAAAAGGAAUCUUUUUAUUUUUAAAAGACCUUUUUCGGAAGGUAUGCUUAAAGAGGGGCUUGCGUCACAUUAGUUAGUUGGUAGGGUAAAGGCCUACCAAGACGAUGAUGUGUAGCUGGACUGAGAGGUUGAACAGCCACAUUGGGACUGAGACACGGCCCAAACUCCUACGGGAGGCAGCAGUAGGGAAUUUUCGGCAAUGGAGGAAACUCUGACCGAGCAACGCCGCGUGAACGACGAAGUACUUCGGUAUGUAAAGUUCUUUUAUUGAAGAAGAAACAAUAGUGGAAAAACUAUCUUGACGUUAUUCAAUGAAUAAGCCCCGGCUAACUAUGUGCCAGCAGCCGCGGUAAUACAUAGGGGGCGAGCGUUAUCCGGGAAUUAUUGGGCGUAAAGGGUGCGUAGGCGGUUUAAUAAGUCUCUAGUUUAAUUUCAACGCUUAACGUUGUCUGCUAGAGAAACUGUUUAACUAGAGUGAGAUAGAGGUAAGCGGAAUUCCAUGUGUAGCGGUAAAAUGUGUAAAUAUAUGGAGGAACACCAGAGGCGUAGGCGGCUUACUGGGUCUUUACUGACGCUGAUGCACGAAAGCGUGGGGAGCAAACAGGAUUAGAUACCCUGGUAGUCCACGCCGUAAACUAUGAGUACUAAGUGUCGGGGUUAAACUCGGUACUGAAGUUAACACAUUAAGUACUCCGCCUGAGUAGUACGUACGCAAGUAUGAAACUUAAAGGAAUUGACGGGAUCCCGCACGAGCGGUGGAUCAUGUUGUUUAAUUCGAAGAUACACGAAAAACCUUACCAGGUCUUGACAUACUCUGCAAAGCUAUAGAAAUAUAGUGGAGGUUAUCAGGGAUACAGGUGGUGCAUGGUUGUCGUCAGCUCGUGUCGUGAGAUGUUAGGUUAAGUUCUAAAACGAGCGCAACCCCUGUCGUUAAUUGCCAGCACGUUAUGGUGGGGACUUUAGCGAGACUGCCAAUGAAAAAUUGGAGGAAGGUGGGGAUUACGUCAAAUCAUCAUGCCCCUUAUGAUCUGGGCUACAAACGUGAUACAAUGGCUAUUACAAAGAGUAGCUGAAACGCGAGUUUUCGGCAAAUCUCAAAAAAAUAGUCUCAGUUCGGAUUGAAGUCUGCAACUCGGCUUCAUGAAGUUGGAAUCGCUAGUAAUCGCGAAUCAGCAUGUCGCGGUGAAUACGUUCUCGGGGUUUGUACACACCGCCCGUCAAACCACGAAAGUGGACAAUACCCGAAAGCGACAGCCUAACUGCGUAAGC
rnacentral:rRNA from 1 species